AUUAAAAGCAAAUGCGCAGUAUAAGGGCUUAUUUAGUAUUAUGGUAGUUGGUUAUGUUAAAAAGCUAACCAAGCCUUAGAUGCUUAGCAGGCUUUAACGAGUGAUCUGCCACAACGGGCUUGAAAUAGUGCCUGAACAUUUAUGGCAGCAGUAAAGAAUCUUGGGCAAUGCAUUCAAGUGUGACCCAGCAAGUCUCCGUGGAUGAUGAAGAUAUUAAAUUAUAUUGUAAAAUUCUAUCUUUUUAUAUUUAUAAUGAAAUAUAAAAAGGAAAGCACAGGCUAAAUUCGUGCCAGCAGCCGCGGUAAUACGGAUUGUGCAAGUCUUUGACCUCGUGACUAGGUGUAAAAGGCCUACAUAGGAGGUUAUAUAAGUUAUUGAGUAAAUACAGGGUAUAAACCUUGGAAUCUCAAUAAAACUUUAUAACUAGAAUAUAAAAGG
rnacentral:rRNA from 1 species